rnacentral:rRNA from 1 species
UACGUAGGGUGCAAGCGUUGUCCGGAAUUACUGGGCGUAAAGAGCUCGUAGGCGGUCUGUCGCGUCUGCUGUGAAAACUCGCGGCUUAACUGGGGGCGUGCAGUGGAUACGGGCAGACUAGAGUGCGGUAGGGGAGACUGGAAUUCCUGGUGUAGCGGUGAAAUGCGCAGAUAUCAGGAGGAACACCGGUGGCGAAGGCGGCUCUCUGGACCGUAACUGACGCUGAGAAGCGAAAGCGUGGGGAGCGAACAGG